UACGGAGGGUGCAAGCGUUGUCCGGAUUCAUUGGGUUUAAAGGGUGCGCAGGCGGGUCAUUAAGUCAGGGGUGAAAGACGGUUGCUCAACAAUCGCAGUGCCUUUGAUACUGGUGUUCUUGGGGAACCUUGAGGUAGGCGGAAUGGGUGGUGUAGCGGUGAAAUGCAUAGAUACCACCCAGAACUCCAAUUGCGAAGGCAGCCUACUGGAGGUCAACCGACGCUCAGGCACGAAAGCGUGGGGAUCAAACAGG
rnacentral:rRNA from 1 species